GACGAACGCUGGCGGCGUGCUUAACACAUGCAAGUCGAACGGAAAGGCCUCUUUCGGGGGGUACUCGAGUGGCGAACGGGUGAGUAACACGUGAGUAACCUGCCCUUGACUUUGGGAUAACUUCAGGAAACUGGGGCUAAUAGCGGAUAGGAGCUACUGCCUCCGGGUGGGGGUUGGAGAGUUUCGGCGGUUGGGGAUUGGUUGGCGGCGUAUCAGCUUGUUGGUGGGGUAGUGGCUUACCCAGGCUUAGGCGGGAAGCCGGCCAGGGGGGGUGAGCGGCGACAUUGGGACUGAGAGACGGCCGAGACUCGUACUGGAGGCAGCAGGGGGGAAGAUUGCACCAGGGGUGGAAGGCUGAUGCAGAAAGGCCGUGUGCGGGAUGACGGCUUUCUGGUUGUAAAACGGCUUCGCUCAAGACGAAGCUUUGUGUGACGGUAGUGGGUAAAGAAGCACCGGCUAACUACGUG
rnacentral:rRNA from 1 species